CACGUAGGGGCCAAGCGUUGUCCGGAUUUAUUGGGCGUAAAGAGCUCGUAGGCGGUUCGGUAAGUCGGAUGUGAAAACUCUGGGCUUAACCCAGUGAUUGCACCCGAUACUGCUGUGACUUGAGUCCGGUAGGGGAGUGGGGAAUUCCUGGUGUAGCGGUGAAAUGCGCAGAUAUCAGGAGGAACACCGGUGGCGAAGGCGCCACUCUGGGCCGGAACUGACGCUGAGGAGCGAAAGCGUGGGUAGCAAACAGG
rnacentral:rRNA from 1 species